rnacentral:rRNA from 1 species
UACGAAGGGGGCUAGCGUUGCUCGGAAUCACUGGGCGUAAAGCGCACGUAGGCGGCUUUUUAAGUCAGGGGUGAAAUCCUGGAGCUCAACUCCAGAACUGCCUUUGAUACUGAGGAUCUUGAGUACGGGAGAGGUGAGUGGAACUGCGAGUGUAGAGGUGAAAUUCGUAGAUAUUCGCAAGAACACCAGUGGCGAAGGCGGCUCACUGGCCCGUAACUGACGCUGAGGCACGAAAGCGUGGGGAGCAAACAGG